GCAUGAAGCUGCAAGCUAUAACAUGCUUCUUUAUCCUAAUUAUUCAGUGUUUGUGCCGCAGGGGCAAAAC
rnacentral:lncRNA from 1 species